UGCCCAUGACAGGGGGUUGGAACUGAAUGAGCUUAAAGCUCUCUUCAAACCCAAACCAGUCUGGGAUUCUAUGAGUGUGCAGGGUCUCGAGCCAUGUCUGUGCUUUAUGGUGAUGCUGUGGACAGAGAGGUGUCUUCUGAGGUGGCCAAAAUCAGGAGACAGGAUGCUUUGGCCUAUGGGGGUAUGAAGCAGAUCUGCCAAGCAGUGAGGAGAAGACCAAGCUGGAGCACAAGGUGAAGGGUGCUCUCCAAAUACCUUUGCAAGUUUUCCCUUCUGCAACAACAGCAGAAAGAACUUCACAACUUUCUCUGAUGACUCCAGACUCUGGGCUUAAAGGACAAAACUGAAUGCUGAGCAUGAGCUAGCCGGACAUCACUGUGGUCUAGGCUGUGUUAAAAGCUGCACAGGGUGCAGGCACAUGUCUGCAGACACCCCAGCUGAUUUCAGAGGAGCAUCUUCUACCAGAGGAGGUGAGAAUGAGCUCUUCUAAUCUGCUGAGGAAAUUUCUCUCCUUGGUCUCGGCGCUUUUGACGUGAGAAUAAUGUGAUACAGCCAAUUUCAUGGAGGCUGUUGAGAGCCUGGCAAUCUAACGCUGAGUGUGGCCCCAGAACCACAGUGAGGUGAGCCAUUGUGAGCACGAGGCCUCACCUCUUCAUUUCUUGGCCCAGGAGUGAGCAAACUGCCUGCUGGCUUCUGCA